rnacentral:pre_miRNA from 1 species
GUACUACUCCCUCCGUCCCAAAAUUCUUGUCUUAGAUUUGUCUACAUACGGAUGUAUCUAUUCACAUUUUAGUAUUAGAUACAUCCGUAUCUAGAUAAAUCGAAGACAAAAAAUUUGGGACGGAGGAAGUAUAUG